rnacentral:rRNA from 1 species
AGGACGAACGCUGGCGGCGUGCCUAAUACAUGCAAGUCGAACGGACUGAUCCCUUCGGGGAUGAAAGUUAGUGGCGGACGGGUGAGUAACGCGUGAGUAACCUGCCUUCAGAGGGGGAUAACGUUUGGAAACGAACGCUAAUACCGCAUAACGUACAGUUGUCGCAUGGCAGCAGUACCAAAGGAGCAAUCCGCUGGAAGAUGGACUCGCGUCUGAUUAGAUAGUUGGCGGGGUAACGGCCCACCAAGUCGACGAUCAGUAGCCGGACUGAGAGGUUGAACGGCCACAUUGGGACUGAGACACGGCCCAGACUCCUACGGGAGGCAGCAGUGAGGGAUAUUGCACAAUGGGCGCAAGCCUGAUGCAGCCAACGCCGCGUGAAGGAUGACGGUUUUCGGAUUGUAAACUUCUGUUCUCAGUGAUGAUAAUGACAUUAGCUGAGGAGAAAGCCACGGCUAACUACGUGCCAGCCGCGGC